AAAUUUUUAACAAUAGGAGAAAGUUAGAAGUAAAUCACGUAGCUGGUUCAAAGUCAUUUGUACGAUUUUGUCACGACAUGGUAAGAAAUUACUGGUAAUUUAUAUAUUCUUUUCAUGCAUUUAUAUUAACUAUAUUUUUCUUUCGAUUGCGCAGCGAGAUUUCGUCAUUGGCCAGGAGCCCGGACCAGUAGACUUCUACAAAGGGACUCACUGUCGGCAGGCGAGUGGAUCUUGGAUACAUCCUAGAGACAGCGAGAUUUAGGUAAAAAUUUUUAUAUUGUAAAAUUUAAUUGCAUUAAAUUAUAAUAAUGUCAUUUAUUAUGAAAAUUCAUAUGUUUUCAUUACAGGAGGAGAUGGAUACCUUACACAGUCAGCCACUCCUGGUGGUACUCAGCGGAGUGAGACAGAAAUCCUAAGUCAGGUGCUUAGCACCCGUUCUGGAUAUGUGCGUGGGCUUGGCCAUGGUGCCAAGCUCAUGGCACCCGCUAGAGUUGCCUCCAGCCGAUUCGUCGUCAUUGGCGACAGCGUCGUACGCCGAGCGAAUACCGCAGAGAGAGAGGUUCAGCAGCUACGGGUUGUCGUCGAUGACAUCAGAGAUCAACUGGACAGGCAGAGGGAGGAGCAGGAGAGGAAGAUGAUGGAGGAGCUGGCGAGGCAGAGGGAGGAGCAGGAGAGGAAGAUGGAGGAGAUGAAGGUGGAGCAUGAGUGACAGAUGAUGAAGAUGUUUCAAGCUUUCGCUGCACGCAUACCCACUGAUGCCCCACUACCUUCGCCUUCAUCUUUAUGAUUUUUUCUUUUUUAUUUAUGAUGUUAAACUUAUAUGUAUUUAUGCGUGAAUGAAUGUGACGCGUAUAAGAUUGUUUGUGUUUGGAUGUAUGUAGUUUAUGUUUGGAUGGAUUUACUAGUUUGGGUUAGAUGGAUUUGAAUGUGAAUAUGAUGAAAUUUGACAGGUGUAUUAUGAUAUAACAAGUGUAUAUCAGGAUGUGAAUAUGAAUAUGAUGAUAUAACAGGUAUAUCAGGAUGAAUAUGAUGAAAUAUAUUGCAACGGGUGUCUAUCAGGUAUUUUGUACGGAAUUUUGUAUUGGAUGUU